AUGGUUUGGAUGAAGGAUCAAUGGGAUGGAUGCGCGUCUUGACCCUCCUCCCCGCACUCUCGCUCCUUGAUGUUCGGGCCUCCGGCACCCUUGCGUCAAUUGUUCUCGAGAACCCUCGCAGCCUCAUGUAACUAUGCGUACUUCGGAAAAGAAUCCGCAAUUAUGAAGAUCGUCAAUCAUUUUCGACGCUGUUGCCCUCGAGGAUUUUAACUCUAAAUUACUGCAUGAUCCGUGGGGUUUGGCGUAAGUCGUGAGGAUCUUAUCACUCUUACCUUUACCGGGAUUUUCCUGUCGAGACGAUGCUAUUUGCCGAGAUCUAUAAGCAAACUCCAAAUGAUAAAGCGCAUUGCCGUUGUGAAGCACUUUGAUCUUAAAGCUUAUACGCAACGUGUGUGUUAAUUAUUCAGGAGUGCGAAGGGUCUGUUGUUUUUUUGCAGCAUCUGCGUUAAGUUUUCUCACAGCAUUCUUCAUAGCUUUUGCUUGGCUGCAACAGUUUCCGAUAAUGAUUCCAGAAUGCCUAUCUCUAUCAUUGUCAGUGCACUUUGCUGAUGAAUACUUGCAAGACUGUGUAAGUUAAUCUUUUGCUCAUUCAAACAACCAUUUUGCUUCUGUGAUCUUGCAUUGCUUAACUAAGAUUUAUGAAAAGCAUGAUUCUGAUGAGCUUUGCAUUUGCAGAGAAUGCGAUUUCAGGUGCUGAUUUAGGACAUGAUGCUGUAUUCAUUGCUCUGGUGCACCUGAUUUGUUUCCGUUUUAUUAGUAACGAUUUUCUUUGUUGUAUAUUUUGAUUUCGUUGACAGCUCUGUUUUAAUGGUUGCAGUCCUAUUUGUUUCAAUGAUACGUUAUUAUUAUUAUUCUUAUUCUUACUUACAUUUUACUUUAAAUUAGUAAAUAUUAGUUUUUAUUUCAGUAAGUUUUGAACUUCCUGUAGAAUGUAGAACAUGCAAUGUGCAUGCUUUUGAGCUUUAGUAGAUUGGAAAUUAUUUAGAGUUAUAUGUAUCACUUUGUAAUGCUUAUUAAAACGUGUAAUAAGAUACCUGUGAAUGUUUUGUGUUCAUCUUAA